GACGAACGCUGGCGGCGUGCUUAACACAUGCAAGUCGAACGGAAAGGCCCUGCUUUUGUGGGGUGCUCGAGUGGCGAACGGGUGAGUAACACGUGAGUAACCUGCCCUUGACUUUGGGAUAACUUCAGGAAACUGGGGCUAAUACCGGAUAGGAGCUCCUGCUGCAUGGUGGGGGUUGGAAAGUUUCGGCGGUUGGGGAUGGACUCGCGGCUUAUCAGCUUGUUGGUGGGGUAGUGGCUUACCAAGGCUUUGACGGGUAGCCGGCCUGAGAGGGUGACCGGGCACAGUGGGCCGGCGCUGCCGCCGGAUCUCCGAGGGGGGGAAGUGAGGGGGAAUGUUGCACAAGGCGCGUAAGUGUGAGACAGCGCCGCGGCUGGGUGGUGGACGGCCUGCGGGUUGGAAACCGCUUCCGUCUUUGAGGAGGGGUGAGAGGAGAUAAUGGGUCAAGAGCCCCGGGCUAUCUAAGUGCAGCCAGCGGCAGUAAGAAUCGUAGAGCACCCGUCUGCAC
rnacentral:rRNA from 1 species